AUGUUGUAGCUCAGUUGGUUAGAACGCUGCACCGGAAUCGCAGGGCCGUAUAGGUUCAAUUCCUACCAUGCAGA
rnacentral:tRNA from 1 species